UACGAGGGGUGCAAGCGUUGCUCGGAAUUAUUGGGCGUAAAGGGUAGGUAGGUGGUCUCAUUUGUCAGGGGUGAAAGCCUUGGGCUCAACCCAAGAAGUGCCUUUGAAACGGUGGGACUAGAGUACUGGAGAGGGUCGUGGAAUUCCCGGUGUAGCGGUGAAAUGCGUAGAGAUCGGGAGGAACACCAGAGGCGAAGGCGGCGACCUGGACAGUAACUGACACUCAACUACGAAAGCGUGGGUAGCAAACAGG
rnacentral:misc_RNA from 1 species